AGUACCUUCACAUUUACCACUUGAUGUAACACUUGUUAAGUUCAAUAAAAGCCACCAAAACAGCAUUUGUUUUAAAAAUAUAUCUGUUAUAAACUAACAAGACACAGAAAUCAAAAAGUCUUGACAGAGAACGCUCAACCUUUUCCCGAUAGUACCGCUACCAAUAGGUAGCAGUAGCGCUAUGCGCUACGUCGCCUAAAUGCGACCAAUUCUAUUUUUUUUAUCCAUUAGGAUACAUUUCUAAAAAAAUUCGCGAGUGAAGUGGAAACACAGCACACUUGCUUAGCAUACGAGUAACACUAUUUGCAUUCCUAAUGCAAUUUAAGGCUAAAAACCGUGUUGACACGGCCCACAGAGGUUGAAAGCUAAAAAAUUUUGCAUUUCGUGACGUGCAUGACGCAUGCACACUAGGUCGAAUUAUCAUAUUUUGUAUUUUUAUUUUAAAUAAUCUUAAGUAGUGUUUCUGGAGAAGAAAUUCAUCGUUUAUUUUGUAUCCUAUUAAAUCAAAUGACGCCCUAAUUAAAGUUGACCACAAAAAACUGGUGCAAAGGCGCAUAUACAAUCACUGUUCGCAAAUUCGUUGGCAAAGUUUGUUAGAAAUGGGUCAACUUUACAUCAAAAUGCGUGCCACUUCGCACUUCACCUGUGAAUUGCAUUAGAAAUAUAGCUUAAAUAGACUUGUUCUAGACAAUGAUCUCUGUGGGAGAUCUAGGAAUCGCAUAAAAUGCUUCAUAACUAAUAUAUGUAAUAAUAUUAAUAGCAUCCACAACCGUAAGAAAUAGAUAAAACAAUAAAGUGAGAAAACUUUCAACUAAUUAGAAAUGAAAAUGAUGAGAAUAGAAUUGUGGUAUGAAAAAAAAAAUUCUAAGAAUAUGCUGGAUACUAGAACUUGAGAGUGUAAUAAUCAUAGGUAAUAAACAGCUGAUUUACGUCAGAAUAAUAGCCAUGUGAUCUAUUUCAGUGAAACUAAUGCUGCUGAAACUGAGUAUUAUUCAGUACAUCUACAAGUAAGCUUUCAAACAAUAUACAAAAUUUAGAACAUUUGUUGUCUGUUUUGUGAUUCAAUUACGGAACUUUUUUGCAAAUUACUUUUUAAGGUUGCAAAGUGAUAACCCAAUAGCAGCUGAAAGUUAUAAAAAGAGACUUAUAGCUUUAGGUAGAGGUGACCUAUGACUGUUAAAAAAUAUUUUUAUGUAGUGCUAUAUUUUAUUCCUAUUUUGAGUGUGAUGAUGAUGAUGAUUUUUUUAUCAAGGAUAAUUGUAUGCAAAUGACAAAUAAAAGUUCUAUAUAGCUAUA